rnacentral:rRNA from 1 species
UACGUAGGGUGCGAGCGUUGUCCGGAAUUAUUGGGCGUAAAGGGCUCGUAGGCGGUUUGUCGCGUCGGGAGUGAAAACACACAGCUUAACUGUGUGCUUGCUUCCGAUACGGGCAGACUAGAGGUAUGCAGGGGAGAACGGAAUUCCUGGUGUAGCGGUGAAAUGCGCAGAUAUCAGGAGGAACACCGGUGGCGAAGGCGGUUCUCUGGGCAUUACCUGACGCUGAGGCGCGAAAGCUAGGGGAGCAAACAGG